rnacentral:lncRNA from 1 species
GUACACAUCGUAUGAUAGACCGCCAACCAGAUUAAGAAAUAGCCAUGGCUCGUAAGGCUUCCGUCCUUGUUGUGGCAUCCAUCCUCAUAUUGGCGCUCCUCAUGUCUUGUGGUAAUAAGAAGAUAAUGGUACCUUCUCUCCAUAUAAGAGUUUUGUACAUUUAAAUAGAAUAAAACAAUUUUCUUUUCGUUUGCAGACGUGGUUCAAAGCACAUGCCAUGACUAUACCAGCAAGGUCCGUUGUGGUGACUCCCGAACUUGUUCUUGGUGGUGCAAGUACAACGGUGCUAGUGAUGGUCGCUGCAAUGAACGUUUAUGUGUGUGCACGGACUGCGGGCGGCACGUGAUGGGUUCUACUUGAUUAGUUCCUUUGUAUCCGAAAAGUUAUUUGGUGAUCAGGGGUCUCGUACUCUCAGAAUAAAUAGUAUGUUAUGAUGAACCGAGCAUAGCUUUCAUGGUUAGUGAAGGUGGUUUCACCCUUGAUAAUCUAGGAUUGAAUGCUAGGUUUGAUUAUGGGGGUGGGGGCCAUCUUAGUGAGUUUCACCUUAUUUUUGUUAUGUACC